rnacentral:rRNA from 1 species
GACGAACCGUGCGAACGUUGUUCGGAAUCACUGGGCUUAAAGGGCGCGUAGGCGGGCUGUCAAGUCUGGGGUGAAAUCCCGCGGCUCAACCGUGGAACUGCCUCAGAUACUGACGGCCUCGAGGGAGGUAGGGGCAUGCGGAACUGUAGGUGGAGCGGUGAAAUGCGUUGAUAUCUACAGGAACUCCGGUGGCGAAAGCGGCGUGCUGGACCUCUUCUGACGCUGAGGCGCGAAAGCUAGGGGAGCAAACAGG